UUCUUAUUGGAUGAUGAUGACUACCAUGUGUCAUGUUCUGAUUGAAUGUCGAAUUCAUGGAAGAUGAAAUACAUUGUUAUUGUCAUUGGUCAAUCAGAAUAUGACACGUGGUAGUCAUUAUCU
rfam:Glycine soja cultivar W05 scaffold3667_39, whole genome shotgun sequence.